rnacentral:pre_miRNA from 1 species
UUUCUGGCGCAGAAGAAAUGACACUGUAGUCAUAUAUCCUCAUCAUUCAAUCAAUUUGAGAUGACGAAGGAAUAAAAUGUAUGAAGGCAGUGUCAUUUCGCUGCACCUGAAA